rnacentral:tRNA from 1 species
AGAUUUUAUUAUGUUCCAUAAUUUGGU